rnacentral:tRNA from 1 species
UUACAUUUAGCAAAAAUAAUUGUACCUAAUUUCCACUUAGGUGGUUCUGUAAUCCAGAAAUGUAAU